UACGUAGGGAGCAAGCGUUGUCCGGAUUUAUUGGGCGUAAAGAGCGUGUAGGCGGCCUUACAGGUCAGCUGUGAAAACUCGAGGCUCAACCUCGAGACGUCGGUUGAAACCGUAAGGCUAGAGUCCGGAAGAGGAGAGUGGAAUUCCCGGUGUAGCGGUGAAAUGCGCAGAUAUCGGGAAGAACACCCGUGGCGAAGGCGGCUCUCUGGGACGGUACUGACGCUGAGACGCGAAAGCGUGGGGAGCGAACAGG
rnacentral:rRNA from 1 species